rnacentral:rRNA from 1 species
CCUAACACAUGCAAGUCGAGCGGCAGCGGGAAAGUAGCUUGCUACUUUUGCCGGCGAGCGGCGGACGGGUGAGUAAUGCGUAGGAAGCUACCCGAUAGAGGGGGAUACCAGUUGGAAACGACUGUUAAUACCGCAUAAUGUCUACGGACCAAAGUGUGGGACCUUCGGGCCACAUGCUAUCGGAUGCGCCUACGUGGGAUUAGCUAGUUGGUGGGGUAAUGGCUCACCAAGGCGACGAUCCCUAGCUGGUUUGAGAGGAUGAUCAGCCACACUGGAACUGCGACACGGUCCAGACUCCUACGGGAGGCAGCAGUGGGGAAUAUUGGACAAUGGGCGCAAGCCUGAUCCAGCCAUGCCGCGUGUGUGAAGAAGGCCUUCGGGUUGUAAAGCACUUUCAGUAGGGAGGAAGAGUUGAGUGUUAAUAGUACUCAGCUUUGACGUUACCUACAGAAGAAGCACCGGCUAACUCUGUGCCAGCCGCCGCGGUAAUAC